rnacentral:rRNA from 1 species
UACGGAGGGGGCUAGCGUUGUUCGGAAUUACUGGGCGUAAAGCGCACGUAGGCGGACCAUCAAGUUGGGGGUGAAAUCCCGGGGCUCAACCCCGGAACUGCCUCCAAAACUGCUGGUCUGGAGGUCGAGAGAGGUGAGUGGAAUUCCGAGUGUAGAGGUGAAAUUCGUAGAUAUUCGGAGGAACACCAGUGGCGAAGGCGGCUCACUGGCUCGAUACUGACGCUGGAGGUGCGAAAGCGUGGGGAGCAAACAGG